AUUGAACGCUGGCGGCAUGCCUUACACAUGCAAGUCGAACGGUAACGGGCCUUCGGGUGCCGACGAGUGACGAACGGGUGAGUAAUAUAUCGGAACGUACCUUUCAGUGGGGGAUAACGUAGCGAAAGUUACGCUAAUACCGCAUAUUCUGUGCGCAGGAAAGCAGGGGACCUUCGGGCCUUGCGCUGAUUGAGCGGCCGAUAUCAGAUUAGCUAGUUGGUGAGGUAAAGGCUCACCAAGGCGACGAUCUGUAGCGGGUCUGAGAGGAUGAUCCGCCACACUGGAACUGAGACCCGGUCCAGACUCCUACGGGAGGCAGCAGUGGGGAAUUUUGGACAAUGGGGGCAACCCUGAUCCAGCCAUGCCGCGUGAGUGAAGAAGGCCUUCGGGUUGUAAAGCUCUUUCGGCCGGGAAGAAAUCGUAUGGGCUAAUACCCUGUGCGGAUGACGGUACCGGCAUAAGAAGCACCGGCUAACUACGUGCCAGCCGCCGCGGUAACAC
rnacentral:rRNA from 1 species